rnacentral:rRNA from 1 species
AUGGUUACAGGCUUACAGCUAAUUGAACUAAACUGCAAUCUCGCUGCUGUGUUAUUGAUGACAUGUUCUCUAGCUACAGAGGUCAAUGUUGAGUUCAGUUAUUUACGUACACAUCUGGCAUAUAUUCAACUAUUUGGCCUAUGCUUGAUGUUGAAAUACUUUUGGAAAUCGUGCAUCAUUUUGCUAAAGCUUCUUUUGGUACUCUAUUUGAACUGUGGGAUGUCUUGCUUGAAUGUCCUCAAAAUAAUGUUACGGUUAUGGAUAUGCGAUGAUGGAACAGUUCGAAGUUUCCCUUCUGUUGAGAAAAUUAUUUUGAAUUAA